rnacentral:rRNA from 1 species
GACGAACGCUGGCGGCGUGCUUAACACAUGCAAGUCGAACGGUAAGGCCCUUCGGGGUACACGAGUGGCGAACGGGUGAGUAACACGUGGGUGAUCUGCCCUGCACUUCGGGAUAAGCCUGGGAAACUGGGUCUAAUACCGGAUAGGACUCCUGGCUUCAUGGUUGGGGGUGGAAAGCUUUUGCGGUGUGGGAUGGGCCCGCGGCCUAUCAGCUUGUUGGUGGGGUAAUGGCCUACCAAGGCGACGACGGGUAGCCGGCCUGAGAGGGUGACCGGUCACACUGGGACUGAGAUACGGCGCAGACUCCUGCGGGAGGCAGCAGUGGGGAAUAUUGCACAAUGGGCGCAUGCCUGAUGCAGCGACGCCGCGUGAGGGAUGACGGCCUUCGGGUUGUAAACCUCUUUCAGCUAUGACGAAGCGCAAGUGACGGUAGUAGCAGAAGAAGGACCGGCCAACUACGUGCCAGCCGCCGCUGUAA